rnacentral:rRNA from 1 species
UACGUAGGGCGCAAGCGUUGUCCGGAUUCACUGGGUGUAAAGGGUGCGCAGGCGGGAAAGUAAGUUAGAGGUGAAAUCUCACAGCUCAACUGUGAAACGGCCUUUGAUACUGCUUUUCUUGAGUUAGGGAGAGGUUGAUGGAAUUCCAGGUGUAGCGGUGAAAUGCGUAGAUAUCUGGAGGAACACCAAUGGCGAAGGCAGCUCGCUGGGACGUGACUGACGCUGAGACGCGAAAGCGUGGGGAGCAAACAGG